UAAAGAUUGUAAGUUUCUGACUAUCCAUUUACAAGACAGUCAUGUUUAUUGCUCCUAAACAACAAAGUACUCAGCACAGGAUAGCAGAGAACCCUGAAGGAAGAGGUGCCAGGAGAGAUGAAAGGAAAUAUCAUGGGAAUGGAGUGCUGUUCAGCCUGCGGAAUGUCUGGAAUAUCUGAGAAGCAGCAGGACAACAGUCGAUGCCUCUAGUGGGAAUAAAAGUCAAUUGAAUAUCUACCAGACAAGAUAGAAUUUGCAUAUCCAUCAGUUACAAAGAGGGAAGAAGUAGCUCAAAGACAAUGAAAAGGACCAAAAUCUGAUAAUCCAUAAAGGUAGAUCUAUAGUGAGAAGCUGAACCAUAACUGAAACACUGCUAAGGAAGCAUGGGAUGAUGAGAGAAGACACAUUCAUCUUAGGAUGUAUUCGUUAAC